UGGGGAAUAUUGCACAAUGGGCGCAAGCCUGAUGCAGCCAUGCCGCGUGUAUGAAGAAGGCCUUCGGGUUGUAAAGUACUUUCAGCGGGGAGGAAGGUGUUGUGGUUAAUAACCGCAGCAAUUGACGUUACCCGCAGAAGAAGCACCGGCUAACUCCGUGCCAGCAGCCGCGGUAAUACGGAGGGUGCAAGCGUUAAUCGGAAUUUCUGGGCGUAAAGCGCACGCAGGCGGUCUGUCAAGUCGGAUGUGAAAUCCCCGGGCUCAACCUGGGAACUGCAUUCGAAACUGGCAGGCUAGAGUCUUGUAGAGGGGGGUAGAAUUCCAGGUGUAGCGGUGAAAUGCGUAGAGAUCUGGAGGAAUACCGGUGGCGAAGGCGGCCCCCUGGACAAAGACUGACGCUCAGGUGCGAAAGCGUGGGGAGCAAACA
rnacentral:rRNA from 1 species